rnacentral:rRNA from 1 species
UUCGGCGUGCCUAAUACAUGCAAGUCGAACGCUUCUUUCCUCCCGAGUGCUUGCACUCAAUUGGAAAGAGGAGUGGCGGACGGGUGAGUAACACGUGGGUAACCUACCCAUCAGAGGGGGAUAACACUUGGAAACAGGUGCUAAUACCGCAUAACAGUUUAUGCCGCAUGGCAUAAGAGUGAAAGGCGCUUUCGGGUGUCGUUGAUGGAUGGACCCGCGGUGCAUUAGCUAGUUGGUGAGGUAACGGCUCACCAAGGCCACGAUGCAUAGCCGACCUGAGAGGGUGAUCGGCCACACUGGGACUGAGACACGGCCCAGACUCCUACGGGAGGCAGCAGUAGGGAAUCUUCGGCAAUGGACGAAAGUCUGACCGAGCAACGCCGCGUGAGUGAAGAAGGUUUUCGGAUCGUAAAACUCUGUUGUUAGAGAAGAACAAGGACGUUAGUAACUGAACGUCCCCUGACGGUAUCUAACCAGAAAGCCACGGCUAACUACGUGCCAGCAGCCGCGGUAAUACGUAGGUGGCAAGCGUUGUCCGGAUUUAUUGGGCGUAAAGCGAGCGCAGGCGGUUUCUUAAGUCUGAUGUGAAAGCCCCCGGCUCAACCGGGGAGGGUCAUUGGAAACUGGGAGACUUGAGUGCAGAAGAGGAGAGUGGAAUUCCAUGUGUAGCGGUGAAAUGCGUAGAUAUAUGGAGGAACACCAGUGGCGAAGGCGGCUCUCUGGUCUGUAACUGACGCUGAGGCUCGAAAGCGUGGGGGAGCAAACAGGAUUAGAUACCCUGGUAGUCCACGCCGUAAACGAUGAGUGCUAAGUGUUGGAGGGUUUCCGCCCUUCAGUGCUGCAGCAAACGCAUUAAGCACUCCGCCUGGGGAGUACGACCGCAAGGUUGAAACUCAAAGGAAUUGACGGGGGCCCGCACAAGCGGUGGAGCAUGUGGUUUAAUUCGAAGCAACGCGAAGAACCUUACCAGGUCUUGACAUCCUUUGACCACUCUAGAGAUAGAGCUUUCCCUUCGGGGACAAAGUGACAGGUGGUGCAUGGUUGUCGUCAGCUCGUGUCGUGAGAUGUUGGGUUAAGUCCCGCAACGAGCGCAACCCUUAUUGUUAGUUGCCAUCAUUUAGUUGGGCACUCUAGCGAGACUGCCGGUGACAAACCGGAGGAAGGUGGGGAUGACGUCAAAUCAUCAUGCCCCUUAUGACCUGGGCUACACACGUGCUACAAUGGGAAGUACAACGAGUCGCUAGACCGCGAGGUCAUGCAAAUCUCUUAAAGCUUCUCUCAGUUCGGAUUGCAGGCUGCAACUCGCCUGCAUGAAGCCGGAAUCGCUAGUAAUCGCGGAUCAGCACGCCGCGGUGAAUACGUUCCCGGGCCUUGUACACACCGCCCGUCACACCACGAGAGUUUGUAACACCCGAAGUCGGUGAGGUAACCUUUUUGGAGCCAGCCGCCUAAGGUGGGAUAGAUGAUUGG